GACGAACGCUGGCGGCGUGCUUAACACAUGCAAGUCGAACGGAAAGGCCCUGCUUUUGUGGGGUGCUCGAGUGGCGAACGGGUGAGUAACACGUGAGUAACCUGCCCUUGACUUUGGGAUAACUUCAGGAAACUGGGGCUAAUACCGGAUAGGAGCUCCUGCUGCAUGGUGGGGGUUGGAAAGUUUCGGCGGUUGGGGAUGGACUCGCGGCUUAUCAGCUUGUUGGUGGGGUAGUGGCUUACCAAGGCUUUGACGGGUAGCCGGCCUGAGAGGGUGACCGGCCACAUUGGGACUGAGAUACGGCCCAGACUGCUACGGGAGGCAGAAGUGGGGAAUAGUGCAAAAUGGGCGGAAGGCUGAUGCAGCAACGCAGCGUGCGGGAUGACGGCCGUCGGGUUGUAAACCGCUUUCGCCUGUGACGAAGCGUGAGUGACGGUAAUGGGUAAAGAAGCACCGGCUAACUACGUG
rnacentral:rRNA from 1 species